rnacentral:rRNA from 1 species
UGAGGAAUAUUGGUCAAUGGGCGGGGAGCCUGAACCAGCCAAGCCGCGUGAGGGAAUAAGGCCCUACGGGUCGUAAACCUCUUUUGUCGGGGAACAAAAGCGGGGACGCGUCCCCGUCUGCGUGUACCCGAAGAAAAAGCAUCGGCUAACUCCGUGCCAGCAGCCGCG